GAGGCCCGUCUUAGGAACGCUUUUCCUGGGCAGAUAAACACACUCUUCUCCUAGAAGCCGGCCAGCGGCGCAUUUCGACUCUCCCACUGAAUCUGGACUAAAGCCAGCCGGAGUGCAGCUAGACAGCCCUGUGGUGAGGAGUAGCUUCUGAAUCAGAGCUCUGCAGUAGUCAGUCUUGCCGAAGAACUCAGAGCUAACUCUGAUUUUUCUACUCUUUGUCAGUAUCUCGGCGAGGAAACAUCCAGGCUCAGUGCUAGAAUAAGAUUUUGACUGCAUUUAAAGCAAAAGGGUGGAUCACAACAAACUGUGGAAAAUUCUUAAAGAGAUGGGAAUACCAAAACACCUUUCCUGCCUCCUGAGAAACCUGUAUGCAAGUCAAGUAGCAACAGUUAGAACCAGACAUAGAACAGACUGGUUCAAAAUUGGGAAAGGAGUACGUCAAGGCUGUUUAUUGUCACCCUGCUUAUUUAACUGAUAUGCAGAGUACAUCAUGUUACAUGCUGGGCUGGAUGAAGCACAAGCUAGAAGUAAGACUGCCAGGAGAAGUAUCAAUAACUUCAGAUAUGGAGAUGACACCACCCUUAUUGCAGAUACAGAAGAGGAACUAAAGAGCCUCUUGAUGUGUAGGUGAAAAGAGGAGAGUGAAAAGACUGGCUUAAAAGUCAACAUUUAAAAAACUAAGAUCAUGGCAUCUGGUCCUAUCACUUCAUGACAAAUAGAUGGGGAAACAAUGGAAGCAGUGACAGACUUUUCUUUCUUGGGCUCCAAAAUCACUGCAGACGGUGACUGCAGCCAUGAAACUAAAAGAUCCCUGCUCUUUGAAAGGAAGCUAUGACAAACCUAGACAGCAUAUUCAAAAGCAGAGACAUCACUUGGCCAACAAAGGUCCAUAUAGUCAAAGCUAUGGUUUUUGCAGUAGUCAUGUAUGGAUGUGAGAGUUGCACCAUAAAGAAGGCUGAGCGCUGAAGAAUUGAUGUUUUCAAACUGUGGUGCUGGAGAAGACACUUGAGAGUCCCUUGGACUUGCAAGGAGAUCAAGCCAGUCAAUCCUAAAGGAAAUCAACCCUGAAUACUCAUUGGAAGGACUGAUGCUGAAGCUGAAGCUCCAAUGCUUUGGCCACCUGAUGCAAAGAGCUGCCUCAUUGGAAAAGACCCUGAUGCUGGGAAAUGGAGGGCAGGAGGAAAAGAGAGUGACAGAGGAUGAGAUGGUUUGGUGGCAUCACCAACUCAAUGGACAUGAGUUUGAGUAAGCUCCAGGAGUUGGUAAUGGACAGGGAAGCCUGGUGUGCUACAGUCCAUGGGGUCGCAAAAAGUCGGACACAAGUGAGUGACUGAACAAUAAAAAGCAAAGGGGAGAUUGUUAGUGUUACUCACUUAGUCAUGUCCAGCUCUUUUCGGCCCUGUGGACUGUAGGCCUCCAGGCUCCUCUGUCCAUGGAAUUCUCCAGGCAAGAAUACUAGAGAGGGUAGCCAUUCCCUUCUCCAGGGGAUUUUCUCAACCCGGGGAUCAAACUCAAGUCUCCAGCAUUGCAGGUGAAUUCUUUACCAUCUGAGCCACCAAAGAAGCCCAAAAGAGGGAUUAUAUAUACUCUAUUGUUUUGGAACCUGUUUUUGUUUUACUUAGUGUAUCACAAACAUCUUUUCAAAUUUACACCUAAAAGUUCACCUUAAAUUUUAAAAAUUAGAUGUGUUAUCCACCCGGGUCCUUAGACUCUUUAAUCAGCAGAAAUUUAUAAGAGGCUGGAGGAGAAAUUCAGGCAAGGCUUUCCUGGGACUUGUACUGCAGCACUAGGGAGAGAAAACAAGUUACAGGUGCCCUUGCUAGCUCUCCUUAAAUGGAGUGAGGGUAGGGGCAGCUCCAUGGGUCUGACAGAAGGGGUGGCUUAGGUGGUCUGCCACCCUUGUGGUGGUGCUGUGUGCAGAGAUCACGCUCAGUACCCUGCUUUUGCUCCAGGCACCUCAGAAGUGGCUGUUGGUUUGUGGCCUUUUUGUAUCAUUGUUCAUAAUCACCCUGACUGCCAUGCAUUCAGCUGUUUUUAGUCCCUUAUAGUUUCUUUGUAUUCUGUUGCUCCAUGAACUCCUUUUGUCCAGGUUCAGGCACUCCAGUAAAAGGUCCCUGAUCCCAGGUCCAAGACUAUCUUAGGUUCAUGGUUUUCUUUUAUAUGAAUGUACUCCAAAUUAAUGUUACC
ensembl:lncRNA